UCAAUCUAAACCCUAACUCACAACAACAUUAUCUCAUAUAUGUUCUCUCACCCUUGCUGCAAAACAGCCAUUUCCCCAAACACUCCCACAGUCCCACGUAGCAGAGCUGCAACACAAUCAGAAACCAAUCGAUCGGCGACCGCUGCAAAAUAUUACUCCUCUUAGUAAACUGAAGAUUAUAACUUGACCGUCACUGAUAUGGGGAUGACUUGUGGCUAGGGGUGAAAGGCCAACCAAGAUUGGGAGUUCAUGAUUCAAUUCAGGUCCAAGUAUUUUUCCUUAUUUCUUUGUCAUUUUUGGAGUUUUUCCAGUUUGAUUCCUUCCUUUGGGUCUCUUCAUAGUUUAUGAAGAACCUAUUAAACGUUAUGUUAAGUGUUAAUGGUCUGAAAUUAUAUAUCCUCUGUUGUAGAAUUCUGAAAUCUGAAUUGGCCAGUACUUUUUUUAUUUUUUAUUUUUUAUUUUUAUAUAAAGCAUGCUUGGUGGACACAGACAUAAUUUAAGCUCAUCAAUACUAAGUAUUAGGAUUCAUAUUGAUUAA